CCUACGGGAGGCAGCAGUGAGGAAUAUUGGUCAAUGGACGCAAGUCUGAACCAGCCAUGCCGCGUGCAGGAUGACGGCUCUAUGAGUUGUAAACUGCUUUUGUACGAGGGUAAACCCCGAUACGUGUAUCGGGUUGAAAGUAUCGUACGAAUAAGGAUCGGCUAACUCCGUGCCCGCAGCCGCGGUAAUACGGCGGAUCCGAGCGUUAUCCGGAUUUAUUGGGUUUAAAGGGUGCGUAGGCGGUUUGUUAAGUUAGAGGUGAAAUGUCGGGGCUCAACCCCGGAACUGCCUCUAAUACUGGUGGGCUAGAGAAUAGUUGCGGUAGGCGGAAUGUAUGGUGUAGCGGUGAAAUGCAUAGAGAUCAUACAGAACACCGAUUGCGAAGGCAGCUUACCAACCUAUAUCUGACGUUGAGGCACGAAAGCGUGGGUAGCAAACAGGAUUAGAUACCCCUGUAGUC
rnacentral:rRNA from 1 species